GCACCCGUAGCUCAAUGGAUAGAGCGCUGCCCUCCGGAGGCAGAGGUUGUGGGUUCGACCCCCGCCGGGUGUACCA
rnacentral:tRNA from 1 species